CCCGAGGAUGCCUCCGUCCUCUGCUCCAGAGUGGAGACAUCUUUGAGACUUGACCAGGUAGUGCUGGACCCCGCCCCCUCGUCUUGGUGUAGAGGUAGAGCUAUGAACUGAGCUGACAAGGGUGUGGUAGGCUCUCUUUCCCUAGAGACCUUAAGACCCAGCUAGCUCUGACUGCGAUUCACACACCCCACCUACCUGCACAGGAAGGACCCAUUCCGUCUGCCUUCGGACUGCUUACUCUAGUGUUUCUCGGGACCUGGGUUUGUGACUUUACUGUUGGCAACUGACCACAGUAUGAAGAGAGGCUGCCCGCAGGUGGGCUCACACCUCAGUUGAUGCUGCUAGAUUCCCUAGGAGCCAGCAGGGAGCUGGCUGGAUUCAUUGCCUCCCAGAACUGAAAGACCGUCAGCCUGGACAUCCUGAAACAUGACCUUCCCUGCAGGCCACACUCCUCCAGACUCCUGAGUCUUUGCGGUCAAUGGGCAGAUUCUCUGAUCCAGGAAAUGUGACCCUACCACCUGGGACUGGGGAAGGAGCCUGGAUGUCCUUGCCACCCCUGCCCAGGCUAAGCUCCUUUUUCUGCUGAUCCACACUUCCACCCCCUCCUCCAGUCUGUCUCCUUCACCUUAUUUAUUUGCAUGGAGGGGGGAACCCAUGGGAGAAUUUUGGGAAUGUUUUGGUCUUUCUUUUGUAAUAAAAAUUAUUUAAGUUGUUAG
rnacentral:lncRNA from 1 species